UCUAGCUUGCUAGAAGAUGACGAGUGGCGGACGGGUGUAGUAAUGCUUGGGAACUUGCCUUUGCGAGGGGGAUAACAGUUGGAAACGACUGCUAAUACCGCAUAAUGUCUUCGGACCAAACGGGGCUUCGGCUCCGGCGCAAAGAGAGGCCCAAGUGAGAUUAGCUAGUUGGUAAGGUAAAGGCUUACCAAGGCGACGAUCUCUAGCUGUUCUGAGAGGAAGAUCAGCCACACUGGGACUGAGACACGGCCCAGACUCCUACGGGAGGCAGCAGUGGGGAAUAUUGCACAAUGGGGGAAACCCUGAUGCAGCCAUGCCGCGUGUGUGAAGAAGGCCUUCGGGUUGUAAAGCACUUUCAGUUGUGAGGAAAAGUUAGUAGUUAAUACCUGCUAGCCGUGACGUUAACAACAGAAGAAGCACCGGCUAACUCCGUGCCAGCAGCCGCGGUAAUACGGAGGGCGCGAGCGUUAAUCGGAAUUACUGGGCGUAAAGCGCACGCAGGCGGUUUGUUAAGCUAGAUGUGAAAGCCCCGGGCUCAACCUGGGAUGGUCAUUUAGAACUGGCAGACUAGAGUCUUGGAGAGGGGAGUGGAAUUCCAGGUGUAGCGGUGAAAUGCGUAGAUAUCUGGAGGAACAUCAGUGGCGAAGGCGACUCCCUGGCCAAAGACUGACGCUCAUGUGCGAAAGUGUGGGUAGCGAACAGGAUUAGAUACCCUGGUAGUCCACACCGUAUACGCUGUCUACUAGCUGUGUGUGUCUUU
rnacentral:rRNA from 1 species